UUGCUUUGAUAGUUGCCAUGCUUGAGAAAAAUAUAUAUCACGUGUGCAUUGACUUAAAUUUCAUUAUAUAUUAUUUUAUGAAUGAUGUUUGUGGGUAACAUCACUGCAAACCCUCACGAGACAACACUCGUCCACUAGGGUAACCUAGGGGUUUAAUGGCUUGUUGCACGUGUUAAGUGCAAUCGUGAUUCCUACGAAAGUGAGUACUUAUCUUAAUUUUAUGCAAUUAGUUCUAAUAAAACAUCAAAGGAUCAACCAACAUUUUUUGUACUCUCAUGAUAUUGUUUACUCUGAAUUGCUAGAGACUAGCAAUAAGCGAGUUGGGGGGUAUGAUGAGA
rnacentral:lncRNA from 1 species